rnacentral:rRNA from 1 species
UACGGGGGGGGCAAGCGUUGUUCGGAAUUACUGGGCGUAAAGGGCUCGUAGGCGGCCAACUAAGUCAGACGUGAAAUCCCUCGGCUUAACCGGGAACUGCGUCUGAUACUGGAUGGCUUGAGUUUGGGAGAGGGAUGCGGAAUUCCAGGUGUAGCGGUGAAAUGCGUAGAUAUCUGGAGGAACACCGGUGGCGAAGGCGGCAUCCUGGACCAACACUGACGCUGAGUGAGCCGAAAGCCAGGGAGCAAACGGGG